rnacentral:lncRNA from 1 species
GUCUCUUCUGCAGACUGCAUUGUGCAUUCUCCAGGAUCCUGGUUACCAACAACUCUAAAUUCUUGUAUGUAAUAAAAUUUUGUAUUUCUAUCAGAGAAGAGACUAAUGUGUAUUCAUCCCAACUUCACAAACUUGGCAUGGGUCCUGAUUGGCCCUAUUUGUUCCAGGCACUCAUUCUGGGAUAGUAAUUCUGGGACUGCAAUUCUAGGCAGUAUUGCAAGGAUCUAACUUUGGUCGCAGCCCAAAUCUAAGCCAAUCCCUAGCCCAGAGAAGUCAAAACUAUAAUUGAAAAGGAUGUGUCCAAAAGACAGAUAUUCUUUCUUUAUGAAUGUGAUUUCAGAGAAAGGGAUCGCUGAUUUACAGGGACAUUUUUGUAGAGAGGUCAAGACUAUAAAGUAGAUGGAUUCAAUCUUCUCUGUAGUAGAAGAUAAAGCUAUAGUCUGAGAAGACAGAUUUCCAGAGAUAUUCUUAAAGUAAAGGAGGCAAGAAAAAAUCGCUACAGGGAAGGUAAGAAUCGCAAGAUGGAGGCAGGGGUAAAAGAUUGGGAAGCAGUAUUGACCACACUCAACUGAAAUAUGAUCUUGGAUAAAAAUGUAUUUGAGCCAGGUGUAGUGGCACAUGCUGGAAUUCCAGUAACUCAGGAGGCUGAGGCAGGAUUGUAAAUUCAAGGUCAGUUUCAACACCUUAGUAAGACCCCAUUUCAAGUUUUAAAAAGAGCUGGUAACAUAACUCUAGAUUUAAUUCCUAGCACUGCCAUGUGUAUCAACUGAAUGUUUGUCAUUGAAAAAAGAAAUAGUGUUACAAAAAACAACUGCCUUAUUUUUGUAAACUGUAAAUCCUUAUGCUGUUUUCUAUGAAGGAACACUUUAAACUAUUUCUAGAUAUAGUGGUAUUACUUGAUUUUUUUAAAAAUGUUUUAACCAUUAGUCCUUGAUGCCUGGUGUGAAAAAAGGAUUUAGCUUUUAUAUUACCAUUCCAUAUCCUACGACUAUCUCCACAUAAAUACUUCUCAUUUCAACUAACUAAU